UACGUAGGGGCCUAGCGUUGUCCGGAAUUAUUGGGCGUAAAGAGCUCGUAGGCGGUUCGGCAAGUCGGAUGUGAAAUCUCCACGCUUAACGUGGAGGGGCCAUUCGAAACUGCUGUGACUCGAGUCCGGUAGGGGAGUGUGGAAUUCCCGGUGUAGCGGUGAAAUGCGCAGAUAUCGGGAGGAACACCAAUGGCGAAGGCAGCUCGCUGGGACGGUACUGACGCUGAGACGCGAAAGCGUGGGGAGCAAACAGG
rnacentral:rRNA from 1 species